rnacentral:rRNA from 1 species
GGCCAGACUCCUACGGGAGGCAGCAGUGGGGAAUCUUCCGCAAUGGGCGAAAGCCUGACGGAGCAACGCCGCGUGAUCGAAUGAAGGCCUUCGGGUUGUAAAGAUCUGUUGACAGGGACGAAUAAGCAAUGCGAAUAGUUUUGUGUAUGACGGUACCUGUUUAGAAAGCUCCGGCUAACUACGUGCCAGCAGCCGCGGUAAUACGUAGGUGGCAAGCGUUAUCCGGAUUUACUGGGUGUAAAGGGCGUGUAGGCGGGUCUGCAAGUCAGAUGUGAAAUCUCAUGGCUCAACCAUGGAACUGCAUUUGAAACUGUAGAUCUUGAGUGAUGGAGAGGCAGGCGGAAUUCCGUGUGUAGCGGUGAAAUGCGUAGAUAUACGGAGGAGCACCAGUGGCGAAGGCGGCCUGCUGGACAUUAACUGACGCUGAGGCGCGAAAGCGUGGGGAGCAAACAGGAUUAGAUACCCUCGUAC